rnacentral:rRNA from 1 species
AUUGAACGCUGGCGGCAGGCCUAACACAUGCAAGUCGAGCGAGCGGCGGACGGGUGCGUAAUGUAUGGGGACUGCCCGAUAGAUGGGGAUAACUACUGGAAACGGUAUCUAAUACCGCAUACUAUCGGAUAACCCAUAUGGGAUUAGCUAGUAGGUGAGGUAAUGGCUCACAUAGGCGACGAUCCCUAGCUGGUCUGAGCGGGUGAUCAGCCACACUGGGACUGAGACACGGCCCAGACUCCUACGGAGGCAGCAGUGGGGAAUAUUGCACAAUGGGCGAAAGCCUGAUGCAGCAACGCCGCGUGUAUGAAGAAGGCCUUAGGAUUGUAAAGUACUUUCAGUCGGGAGGCGUUACCGACAGAAGAAGCACCGGCUAACUCCGUGCCAGCAGCCGCGGUAAUAC